rnacentral:lncRNA from 1 species
UUGGGUUUCUAGUUUUUUGAAGAAAACCCUCCCAAAUACACUUUUCCUUUAUACUUGGAAAAACUUCAUUAAUAGUUCCACUUAACUCUCAAAGUAUUAUCCUGGUUGAUUUUGAAAUUUGAAAAUAGGUUACCAUUUUGAGGCAAUUAGAUAAAAAUUAUGUAAAUACAGACAAUUACAAUGUUUAUAAAUAGUGUAACAUGAAUGUACUAGCUACAUUCAAUGCUGCAGAUUUUUUGGAAGUGUGACAUGGUAUUUUUUUAUGUUCCUUUUACCUCUUUUUUUUUCCAAAUACUUCCCCAGAUCCAAAAUUCUCCACAACAAUUUCUAUGACAUAACACCCAUUUGUCUUAAGUGCUUCAGUCUUUUGUUUUAUUUCAUGCACUGUGCCUUCAAAAUGAAAACUUAAAAGGGACUUUAAAAGAAUUGAAUAGUAGUUUUAAAAAGUUAAUCUGUGUAAUUUAUGUGAAAUCUAACUGUACUGAGGUCCUUUGUUUUUUAUAUGUAAACAGAUCUACUAAUCCUGUAUAAAAGUUAUUUUAUGAUGUUUGUCUUUCUUUGUGUGUUGUCUCAUAAGCUUUAUUCAAAAACAGUAGACGGUUACUGCUCAAAUCCUGAAAGUUUUAAGCUUAGUUUUUCUACCUAACUUGAAGAGAAAAUAGUACCAGAGGCAGGAUAUGGGGAACCACCUAUAAAGUGUUCCCAUCUUUAUGAAUUGACUUACAGAAGGUUUUGUUUCAGAAGUGACUGUUUACAUAGCAGCCACAACUGUGCAGCAUCCAGAAUGAUGCGUUCAGGAGCACCACACACAGUAGCCACACAGGGCUUUACCACGGCACAGCCCACUCCACAGGUAUCCUAUGUGCUGCCUUUCAGAUCAGGAACGCCCAAGAGGCUUAUAGACCCAUGCUACAUGGUGAAGCACAGUUAGAAUGACCUGUCCUGGCAUCUCAGGCAUGACCGUGAUGAAGUCAGUGUCCCCUGGUUAUUUAACAAGUUCCCCCAAAAUUGCUGCUCUAAUGGGUUGGGAAUGUAGAGCUAUGUAAGAAACAUGGGCUGUGCUGACAGGGAACUCUUGGUCCAGACAAGAGAAGCAGAGACAGCCAUAGGCUGUGCUUCAGUGGCAUUUGGCCUCUCUCAGAAGUCUCCUGAGGAAGUUCUGAGAGGUUUCAGUCUGGGCCACUUGUGAUAGAUGUCAUUUGCAAUGUGACCUUGGAUUGCAAGAAUCUCAGAGCAGGCUCAGCAUCUCAGCCUCAUGUCUGUUAAGGAACCAACUGGAAGAGAAUGGGAGGUGGGUUGAGGAGAUGGAGUCAGCGUGGUGUUUGGCUCCAAGCUGAGUACCUAGAGUAGCCAGUGUCCUUCCCUUCCUUUGUUGUUUCCUGGUCUGCUUGGUGGUAUGUUGUCAGCCAUCUGAACUGAGAUCUCUUAAAGGCCAUCUUUUUAAUUUAGAAGACAUUUAGAUAAGAAAACUUCCUGGAACUUGCUUCCACUCUGUGGUUCACUAGGUUGCCUGAAAUAUGAUAAAAGUUUUAAUUUUCCAGGUGCUUCAUACUUGUUUUUAGGUGAGAUUAGACUAUCCAUGUUACUUCGUAGAGGCUUGGUUUAACUGUUGGAAAUCCUAUCGUGAGUUUUAGCACUUUUUCAUGCUUGAAGCUAGAUGUCUUUUGGUUGUUUUUAUAAACAUAAUCUACUAAUUGUGCUCAGUUUUUCGGAUGUCUAGGAAUUGUUACCAGCAAUGUAAAUACAGUGGCCAUUGCUCACAUGC